UACCUACUCCCUUCGUUCCAAAUUACUCGUCACAGAAAUGAAUGUAUCUAGAAACUAAAAUACAUCUAGAUACAUCCAUACCUGCGACAAGUAAUUCGGAACGGAGGAAGUACCUA
rnacentral:pre_miRNA from 1 species